GCUCAAAUAGCUCAGGGGUUUAGAGCAUGGAUUUGCAGUGUCCAGGGUCCGCUGUUCGAAUCAGUGUUUGAGCU
rnacentral:tRNA from 3 species